rnacentral:lncRNA from 1 species
UAAGGGGGUGUUUGGAUAGCAUGUGCUAAAUUUUAGCACCUGUCACAUCGGAUGUUUGGACACUAAUUAGGAGUAUUAAACAUAGUCUAAUUACAAAACUAAUUGCACAACCCCUAGGCUAAAUCGCGAGACGAAUCUAUUAAGCCUAAUUAAUCCAUCAUUAGCGAAUGGUUACUGUAGCACCACAUUGUCAAAUCAUGGACUAAUUAGGCUUAAUAGAUUCGUCUCGCGAUUUAGCCUAGGGGUUGUGCAAUUAGUUUUGUAAUUAGGCUAUGUUUAAUACUCCUAAUUAGUAUCUAAACAUCCGAUGUGACAUGUGCUAAAAUUUAGCACAUGCCUCCCAAACACCCCCUAAAUCCGG